rnacentral:rRNA from 1 species
CAAUAGCGUAUAUUAAAGUUGUUGCGGUAAAAAAGCUCGUAGUUGGAUUUCUGUUGAGAGCGACCGGUCCAUACCAUGUAUGCGUAUCUGGCUUGCUCUCGGCAUCCUCUCGAUAGACGUUACUGCGCUUGAUUGCGUGGUGCGGAUCUCGGGACUUUUACUUUGAGGAAAUUAGAGUGUUCACGGCAGGCUUUCGCCAGAAUACAUUAGCAUGGAGUAAUACUAUAGGAUCUUGGUUCUAUUUUGUUGGUUUCUAGAAUUGAGAUAAUGAUUAAUAGGGACAAUUGGGGGCAUUCGUAUCAACACGUCAGAGGUGGAAUUCUUGGAUUGUGUUGCGACGAACUACUGCGAAAGCAUUUGCCAAGGAUGUUUUCAUUGA